CAGUCGCCGCGGGAAUACGGAGGGUGCAAGCGUUAUUCGGAAUUACUGGGCGUAAAGCGCACGCAGGCGGUCUGACAAGUCAGAUGUGAAAUCCCCGGGCUUAACCUGGGAACUGCAUUUGAAACUGUCAGGCUGGAGUCUUGUAGAGGGGGGUGGAAUUCCAGGUGUAGCGGUGAAAUGCGUAGAGAUCUGGAGGAAUACCGGUGGCGAAGGCGGCCCCCUGGACAAAGACUGACGCUCAGGUGCGAAAGCGUGGGGAGCAAACAGGAUUAGAUACCCGAGUAGUCCCUGUCUCUUAUAC
rnacentral:rRNA from 1 species